GAGAAAUUCACUUCCUUUUCUUGCCUCUUCCAGGGGAAUUCCUGAUGUUUCUGGAGUGUCCCAGGAGCCUUCCCACAUCCAUGAAUGUGCAUCCCUGAGGGACACAACCCCUCCCUUGGAUGCUCCCAGUGGCUGCUCCUUGUCCCAACAUCCCCUUCCAUCCGGAUGCGCCGCCGAUCCCGGAGAUGCCAAUUUGCCUUCCCAAAACUCCUCAUCUGGACAACUCGGGAGCCAGGAGGCCAAUAAAUCCUGGAAAACUGAUGAGGAGGCAUCAAGUCCCCAAAGGAGUGAAGAUCCCACAAACUCUGCUCCGGAAAAGAGGCCAAACCAAGCAGGAGCUUCUCUCCCGCGGGAGCCCCGGAGCACAUCUGGGAAUGAGGGACAUUCCUCCGGUGCCAACGAUGGUCCAGCUGCUGGUGUGGAGCUUCCAGGGAAAGAGAAGGAGUUCCUGAGGCAGGAGGAGUUCUCAUCUUCAGGGAAUUCCUCCUACAAAACGGCCCUGACGGAAAAAAGCGAGAGGGAGACGCAAAAGGAAAAGGUGAAAGCAGUUGGGAGCGGGGGAGGAGUCCUGGAAAAGCUGGAAAAGAAGGUCCCUGAGCUUGAUUUGUCCAAUAAUUCGUCUGGUGGCUCGAGGAACAACCACUUUAAAAAUCCAGGUGCUCCUGAUGUUCUUUCUGCCAAGACUUCUGAGCCAGGCAAAGGAAUGUCGAAGGGACAUGGAGUGGAUUUAAACGGCUCUGGAAGCUUGAAGUUUGUUCCUGAGGAACUCCUGGAUCGUCAGUGCAAACAACCCCCUCCUACAGUGGGAUUUGGGAAAGAGGAGUCACUCCCUGCUGUGAUGAACCCCAGGGACUGUGCACCUGGACAACCAGUUGCUGACAUGGAGAUGCCUCCGUGCAAUGAGGAAUCUCCGGCGGGAGCGGAUCCCGGAGGGAGCGGGAAUGAAUUAACUGCCUCGGAUUUUUCCAUACAAAGGGGCCAUAAAGUCACAGACAUUUCCCCUUCCUUCAACCUUGGAGGUGAUGCCUCGUUCUCCCUACGCUUGGCUCAUCCCAUCUUUCAGUCCACUCCAGGGAUGCUCCUGAAGAAGAAUGUGAAGGUGGAAGAACUCGGUGUCCCGGUGAGCCAGUCGGAUCUCCGGGUCUCUCCAUCAUGUUCUGAUGUUCCUUCAGGGAACUCACCCCUGUCCCCUGGGAAACAGCAUUCCCCCCGAUGUGCUCCGAAGGAAAACAAGGAACAUUUGGAGCCCUUCCAAUGGAAAUAUCCCCACACUGGAAGAAUCCAGUCCCUCCCAUCCCUUAGUUUCAUGGAGAAGGUUGGAUCUUGGAACGUGAGCCAGCCAGAGGAGGUUCCUGAUGCCGGGAUUCCCGGUGGAUUUUCUCCCGGAAGAAAAGCCUCCAGUGCCGUUGCCAUUCCCUCCAGCCACGUUUUGUCCACCCAGAAGAGCAGCAGAGAUCCCAAGGAUUUUGCUGCUGCUCCCCCUAGGGAGACAGGUUCUCUGGGAAGUUUGCACUUCCCAUGUAAAAACUUCCUGCUUGUCCCCCCUCUUACGAGAUCCCAGUCGGACAACGCCGUGAACGUUUCCAGCAGGAAACGUUCCUUGGCUGGGGUUAUUCCACCAGCAAAUUCCACAGAGGCACUGCAGCUUCCAGAAGAGAAAAACCAUGUUUUAGGAGUGUUGGACAAUAAUUUAGGAGGCUCCACGAUCCAGAAGGUUGUUUCUGGAUCCAGUGGUGAAGACACGGAAAAUAACAACACGGGACAAAGCUCAGAUCCCGAUGUUUUGGUUUCCAGUGUUGCUCUGCUCCUUAAAAAGGAUGGAAACUCUCCAGCUGGUGAUGGGAAGAAUUGGGAUGCUCCCGAAAAUCGGUCUCUCAGCCUGAAUAUUCCCGCUGGUCCCGUCAUCCUGGACAACUCGGGGGCAAUUUCCCCGGAUAGUUUGAACGUUCCCGUUGAUUCCGGGGGGAGCAGCCAGGGGGGUUUGGGAUCCACUCUGAGCUCCGGGGGGGUCUCCAGCCACUUCCCCAGUACAGGAGGUGAGAACUUCCUCCCUGGUGGAGCAACUCCUUUGGAAACUCCGAAGAAGCAAGAGCUGGAUAUUGAAGAAAGGAUCCCAGUAAGUGUGGUUUUGGUUUAACCUCUGGUGUCGGAGUUAUCCCUUUAUUU
ensembl:lncRNA